GGUCAAGCUACAAAGGGCGCAUGGUGAAUGCCUUGGCAUCAGGAGCCGAUGAAGGACGUGAUAAGCUGCGAUAAGCUUCGGGUAGGCGCACAUAGCCUGAGAUCCGAAGAUCUCCGAAUGAGGAAACUCACAUGGGAAACCCCAUGUAUCAUUAAGUGAAUACAUAGCUUAAUGAAGGUAACCCAGGGAACUGAAACAUCUAAGUACCUGGAGGAAGAGAAAGAAAAAUCGAUUUUCUUAGUAGCGGCGAGCGAAAGGGAAAGAGCCCAAACCGGAAACUUGUUUCCGGGGUUGUGGACAUAGCAUGAAAGUGGAGGCUAUUGUAACUGAAGAGAACUGGAAAGUUCCACCGUAGAAGGUAAUAGUCCUGUAAGUGAAACGAGAAGACCACGAGUUAUGAUCCAGAGUACCACGAGACACGUGAAACCUUGUGGGAAGCAGGGAGGACCACCUCCCAAGGCUAAAUACUACCUGAUGACCGAUAGUGAAGCAGUACCGUGAGGGAAAGGUGAAAAGAACCCCGGGAGGGGAGUGAAAUAGAACCUGAAACCGUGUGCCUACAACCGCUCAGAGCCCCUUAUGAGGGUGAUGAGGUGCUUUUUGUAGAACGAGCCAACGAGUUACGGUAUGUAGCAAGGUUAAGUACUUAAGGUACGGAGCCGAAGGGAAACCGAGUCUGAAUAGGGCGACUAGUUGCAUGCCGUAGACCCGAAACCGGGUGACCUAUCCAUGGCCAGGUUGAAGCGAGGGUAAAACCUCGUGGAGGACCGAACCACGUUGCUGUUGAAAAAGCAUGGGAUGAGCUGUGGAUAGCGGAGAAAUUCCAAUCGAACCCGGAGAUAGCUGGUUCUCUCCGAAAUAGCUUUAGGGCUAGCGUCGAGUAUGAGUAGUGGAGGUAGAGCACUGAAUGGGCUAUGGGGCAUAGCGCUUACCGAACCUUAUCAAACUCCGAAUGCCACAUACUUUGAGCUCGGCAGUCAGACUACGAAUGAUAAGAUCCGUGGUCAAAAGGGAAACAGCCCAGAUCGUCAGCUAAGGUCCCAAAGUGUAAGUUAAGUGGGAAAGGAUGUGAGAUUUCUAAGACAACUAGGAUGUUGGCUUAGAAGCAGCCAUUCAUUAAAAGAGUGCGUAAUAGCUCACUAGUCGAGAGAUCUUGCGCCGAAAAUGUAACGGGGCUAAACUUACCACCGAAGCUACGGGCUUGAACUUAGUUCAAGCGGUAGGAGAGCGUCGUAACCGGGCUGAAGUCGUACCGUAAGGAGCGGUGGACUGGUUACGAGUGAGAAUGUUGGCAUCAGUAGCGAGAUGUGGGUGAGAAUCCCACAGGCCGAAAACCUAAGGUUUCCUCAGGAAGGUUCGUCCGCUGAGGGUUAGUCGGGACCUAAGCCGAGGCCGAAAGGCGUAGGUGAUGGACAACUGGUUGAUAUUCCAGUACCACUACCAUCGUUAUUAUCGAUGGCGUGACGCAGGAGGAUAGUGUGUGCUAGCUAUUGGAUGCUAGUCUAAGCGUUUAGGCAGUGAGAGUAGGCAAAUCCGCUCUCAUAAUGCUGAGGCGUGAUGGGGAAGGUUCUACGGAACCGAAGUACAUGAUUCCACGCUGCCAAGAAAAGCGUCUAGAGAGAGAAGUAGUGCCCGUACCGCAAACCGACACAGGUAGGUGAGGAGAGAAUCCUAAGGCCGGCGGAAGAAUUACAGUUAAGGAACUCGGCAAAUUGACCCCGUAAGUUCGCGAGAAGGGGUGCCUACGAGAGUAGGCCGCAGAGAAUAGGCCCAAGCAACUGUUUAGCAAAAACACAGGUCUCUGCUAAAGCGUAAGCUGAUGUAUAGGGGCUGACGCCUGCCCGGUGCUGGAAGGUUAAGGGGAACACUUAGCGCAAGCGAAGGUGUGAACUUAAGCCCCAGUAAACGGCGGCCGUAACUAUAACGGUCCUAAGGUAGCGAAAUUCCUUGUCAGGUAAGUUCUGACCCGCACGAAUGGCGUAAUGACUUGGGCACUGUCUCAACUGUAAAUCCGGCGAAGUUGUAGUGCGAGUGAAGAUGCUCGCUACCCGCGAUUGGACGGAAAGACCCCGUAGAGCUUUACUGUAGCUUAGCAUUGAGUUUUGGUAUUGUCUGUACAGGAUAGGUGGGAGACUAGGAAACCAGGGCGUCAGCCUUGGUGGAGUCAACCUUGGGAUACCACCCUGACAGUACUGAAAUUCUAACUGGCGGCCAUGAAUCUGGUCACAGGACAUUGUUAGGUGGGCAGUUUGACUGGGGCGGUCGCCUCCUAAAAAGUAACGGAGGCGCCCAAAGGUUCCCUCAGAACGGUCGGAAAUCGUUCGAAGAGUGCAAAGGCAGAAGGGAGCCUGACUGCGACACCCACAAGUGGAGCAGGGACGAAAGUCGGGCUUAGUGAUCCGGUGGUACCUCGUGGGAGGGCCAUCGCUCAACGGAUAAAAGCUACCUCGGGGAUAACAGGCUGAUCUCCCCCAAGAGUCCACAUCGACGGGGAGGUUUGGCACCUCGAUGUCGGCUCGUCGCAUCCUGGGGCUGAAGUAGGUCCCAAGGGUUGGGCUGUUCGCCCAUUAAAGCGGCACGCGAGCUGGGUUCAGAACGUCGUGAGACAGUUCGGUCCCUAUCCGUCGCGGGCGUAGGAAAUUUGAGAGGAGCUGUCCUUAGUACGAGAGGACCGGGAUGGACUGACCUCUGGUGUACCAGUUGUUCCGCCAGGAGCACAGCUGGGUAGCUAAGUCGGGAAUGGAUAAACGCUGAAAGCAUCUAAGCGUGAAGCCAACCUCAAGAUGAGAUUUCCCAUAGCGUAAGCUAGUAAGAUCCCUUGAAGAACACAAGGUUGAUAGGUCGGGGGUGUAAGCAUGGUAACAUGUUCAGCUGACCGAUACUAAUAGAUCGAGGGCUUGACCAA
rnacentral:rRNA from 1 species